rnacentral:lncRNA from 1 species
UGGGAACUCCUUCCUUCAGAAUACUGAAAUGCCAACCCACAGGUCGUGUUCUCAAGAACCGGUGCUUUCCUUGCUUGUGUGAACAGUCAUGGCAUCAUGAAGGUGUUUGAGUUUAAAUGAGAAAGGAAUUUUGGUUAUUAACUUAGCACUUGUGCUUCUCCUGUGGGGAUGAGUGAGCUCUUUUUUGGUACCACCAUAGCUCCCAGGAUCAGUUAAUUACAUUAAUUUCAGGAACAGACACAAUUGUCCUCAGAUUUGCUGCAGCCUUACUCUCUCCCUUCUCUAAACUGUAUCAUAUUUUCUUGAGAUGUAAUUUGAAAGUUUUUGCUGUCUUUGAUUCCUUGUUAUGUGGGAGAAACAGAACUAAUCAUGACAUAGUCACAUCUGCAAAGAGGAAAUUUACUUUGGUAAAAUAAACUGAGACACAGACACACUGCAUGUAUAACAAGUAAAAAACUAGGACAUAAACUACACUUGCUAAUGAAUUGUUUCAUAGGGAUGUACAACUUGAAAAAUGAACACCUAAGUGGUGAGCUAUCUUUCUCUGUCCCAGCAUUGCUUUGCUGGAAUGAUGCAUACUCCUGGAGGAAAUGCAGGAUUGCAUUAAUGUUAAGCACUGGUCCCCAGCACCAAGUGGCAAUUUAUCAUCUAUCUUGGCAGGCUUCCCUGCUUCAUCCUGCACCUGCCUCCUUGAAAGAAAACAAGACAUCAGAUACUUAUUCAAAUAAUGCAGUAGCUGAUCAGCAGAGUAUCUACACAAUGAUCUACAGCUUUCAUUGCAUUAGUGAGCAGUGGCCAGAGCUUCAAAGCAGCAGCUGUGUCAAGUGGCCAGGACCACUGA